AGCAGCCGUCCCCACUAGAACGAAAACCCCAGCUUCCUCCCUCCUAUAUAUAAGCACAUCUAGUCGCCAAAGCUCACACGCAGCCGCCGAGGGCUCUUGCAGUCCACUCCAUCUCAGUCUUCAGUCUUCAUCUCCUCUCGACAGAUUGAGAUGGUACCUGUGGAAAAUUGUGGUGGAGGAUAGCCAACAAUAUGAUGCAAGGGCUAGCAUUUUUUGUUGGAUAUGAAGUCUCAGGAUGAAGUACAGGAAGAAGGUCUCAUUAUUGUAUUAUAGGCGAUGGGAGGUAUGGGAUGAUAGCUUUAACUAAAAUCUUUUACAAUUCUAUUUUUGGAAAUUUUGAAGGUUCCAUUUUUCUCAAAUCCGUUCGUUUGCAAGAAAAAUUGCCAUCCACUCAACCAUAUUGUUACCCAUCGACUCCAGUCAUGCACUUGUUGGGUACCAACUCAAUCAAGUCAUGCACCUGUAGGUCCCAUUCUCAUCCCUUAUCAAGAUCUCCCAAUGAGAUCAUCUACUCCACUAGCCGCUUCAAGAUCACAACUGUCAACAACACUUAUUUUCUACUCCACCCAUUGAAAAAACAAGCAAUGUGGUGAAAAAUCUCCUUCUCAUCAUAAUUCAACAAUCAUGGUUUGGUCAGAGCUUAUGUUGAAUUUAUUCGGCUCACUCUCCCAAUUUACAUUCUCUACUAGCACAGAAGGGAGAACCCAACAUCUUUGGUGCUAAAGAAAGGCGUUCAGUAUAUUGCAGAGCUCUGUCAAAAAGAGCUCUCCUUAUUUUUAUGUUUCUGUUCCAGGAGCAUACUUCUUAAAAAAUCCACGAGCCUCAAGAUCCUCUAGAGUUGUGACUUUUUUGUUGUUGUAAUGAUGAUCAACUUCCCUUACCAAAGCUCCAGCUAAAGCAUCUAUUUUAUCCACACCGUCAAGAAUAAGGAGAACUCUUUUGCAACAAAUUCUCCCUUUCAUGUAGCUAAUUCCUUCAGCAACACUGGUCAUGGUUGUUUCUUUUGUCAUUAAUAUCCGAGAUAGUAAUUUUCCCUGCAAACGAACAAAGUUUUAGGAAUCUCUCAAAGUUCCUUUGAUGCCAUCAAGAAAAUAGGAACCUUUCAAAUUUCUAAAAAUAGAGUUGUAAAGGGUUUUAGCUAAAGUUGUCUUCCCUAUACCUCCCAUCACCUAUGAUCCAAUGGUGAGACAUUUCAUAUUCAGCAUUGAUUUCAGCUUCCCAAUUCUCUCUAUUUAGAUGUAUAUUGGGCAGAAGAAGCUUGCUUCCCUGGUGAUGAAAGCUAUUGCAAUUCUAGACGGGACUUUCCAAAUAAUUCGCAGUCCAUCUACCUUCACCUCUUCCUCCUCUUCAUUAAGUUUUCCUUUUGAGGUAUGCUACUAACCACGUUACAACUUCAGGUUGAUUUUAUACUCUCUUUCUUAGAUUUAGUUAAUACUCAGUUGUGAUUCUGGUUCUUAAAAGGAGGGAAAAGAUGCGAUGAUUCUCUUUGGACCCAAAUUCAGGAAAGUCGGACGUUUCUUCCUGUAUUCUAGCAGUGUAACUUUCUUGUAUCGUUUCCGCCUUUUCUAGGAGACUAGCAUAAAUUAGAUUCAUAGUCUGCAAAUUUAAAAAUGAGUGAGUGCCCUUGAAAUCAAGGUUACAUGCAUCUUCUAAGUGAGAAAGCGGCCUAAGUAGGUGAAGCAUAGACUCGUGAAAAAAACUAAUCAAUCCCAUGAAUCAAGUGAAAAGCCUCCUGAAAUUCGAGUAUUGUAGUUUUGGUAUUACGUUACCUUAAGUUUCCCUUGUGUUUGCUUUUGGGUACUCACUUUGUUCUUGAAGAUUCAUAUGAACGCAAUGUCUAGUCUACAUGUUGUCCCUAUCAGUAUGCUAAACCAGUGAUGACAUGGUACUAGGCAGGUAGUUGUAAUCCAGUAGAUUAUGUCAAUCACAUUUAAACUAAACAGUGAGAUUCACACUCGCUUCCACCAGAAAAAAAACAAGUUUUCCUGCAAUUUAUGUGUUGUAACUGGUUUUGCUCAACACAAGGGUGAUCCUAUGGUCCUUGAGAGACAUCGUGCGUCCCGGAGAACAUUGAGAUUCAUUACAUUUUAAUCCAACGGUAAAAGUUUGUAAAGGCGUAGUGUAUCUUGGGACCAUAGAAUUACACCCAUAAUAGAUUUUUGUAAUCAAAUUACUGAACUUUGAUUUUAUCGCACAGUAUUAAUAAGUAUUAAUUUCUUGAUUGGUCAAGUGUUCAUGGCAUCCAUCACUUCAGCGUUUUGCUGGGUUAUUAGUUGAAUUCUGUCAAAGUGCAUCAGUUACAAAGAAAUUAUUCAAGUUCAGGGACUUGAUUGCAAAAUCCACUAAAGUUCCUUAUGCUUAUGAGUAGAAUUGCCUUUGACUGUCACGUCUCCCUCCCUCCCUCCCUCCCCUUGUGUGGUUGUUCUCCUGUAUGAAAGUGUGACCGUUAGGUCUAUCCACCCGACUGAAUAGACAAAAAAGAUUACACCAACUCUGUUACUAAUGUCGCGCAUAUGAGAUAAAAAGACAAUCUGGAAUUAUCCCAACAAGAGGGAAGACAAAGCAGGAAUCAGCAUGAGAUGUCUAUCGGCUGCUUCUGGCAAGAUCAGCUGAUAGCGCUUAAUUUCUGUAGUGGAAAUAAGCAAUGAGAACGAAGUAGUCUUUCUCACUUAUACCAUGUUUGGCAUUCUGUUGGCUUUCUCUUCUGUAGCAAAAAGUCAACAUUGUUUGUUCGUCUACUUGUCCAGUGCACAAGACAAAGAACAAGAGACUUAUGUCUUACUUUUGCAAAGUACUGCCUUUGUCACAUUGUAAGGUGUUAAGAUUGUUUUCGGACGUUACAAAGUGCGGAAGGGUUGUAGGAGAAGAGGUUGUAUUGUACAUUGUUGUGCCAAAGAAUUUUCAUCUGGUUGUGGCCAAUUCAUGGGAUUGUUACUCCAUAGAUCUGCGCAAGGAGAGGGAUGUUAAUGGACCAUAGGUUUGUUCUGAAGAAGGAAAACAUGACUGCCUUGCUGGGCCCAUAACAUUACUAAAUCGGAUCCGAAACUCGUAUUUGGAAACGAUCCACAGGCGGACAUGGCCCAUGCCUAACAGUGCGCCUGGAAAGCCUCGUGCACCAAUAUCAUCACAUGGUCUAUAUAUCCUUGUGUGUUGUGGAUAGUUGAUGAACAUGUACGUCCAAAUUUGAAUGGAAAGCCUUCAUUGUUCCUUUCCCCUACAAGGAAUCA